AGUGAACGCUGGCGGUAGGCCUAACACAUGCAAGUCGAACGGCAGCACAGUAAGAGCUUGCUCUUACGGGUGGCGAGUGGCGGACGGGUGAGGAAUACAUCGGAAUCUACUUUUUCGUGGGGGAUAACGUAGGGAAACUUACGCUAAUACCGCAUACGACCUACGGGUGAAAGCAGGGGAUCUUCGGACCUUGCGCGAUUGAAUGAGCCGAUGCCGGAUUAGCUAGUUGGCGGGGUAAAGGCCCACCAAGGCGACGAUCCGUAGCUGGUCUGAGAGGAUGAUCAGCCACACUGGAACUGAGACAUGGUCCAGACUCCUACGGGAGGCAGCAGUGGGGAAUAUUGGACAAUGGGCGCAAGCCUGAUCCAGCCAUACCGCGUGGGUGAAGAAGGCCUUCGGGUUGUAAAGCCCUUUUGUUGGGAAAGAAAAGCAGCAGGUUAAUACCCCGCUGUUCUGACGGUACCCAAAGAAUAAGCACCGGCUAACUUCGUG
rnacentral:rRNA from 1 species